rnacentral:rRNA from 13 species
ACAGCUCAGGGGGAAACGACUGUUUACCAAAAACACAGGUCCGUGCGAAGUCGUAAGACGAUGUAUACGGACUGACUCCUGCCCGGUGCUGGAAGGUUAAGGGGAACUGUGAGUGUAUGCGUAGCGGUGAACUUAAGCCCCAGUAAACGGCGGUGGUAACUAUAACCAUCCUAAGGUAGCGAAAUUCCUUGU